AGAAGAGCAUGUACCAAAUUUCGUACUAAAUCGACAAAUUUACAAGCUAAAUCGGCUAAUAUACUCUGAAUCAAUUGCUAUAAUAUAAGGUGGAUGUCAAGUCAAAUAUCGUCACAAACGCCGAUAUAUCAGAUUCAACAUACCAAUAAAUUCAUACAUAAUUGUUUGCAAUGUUCGCGUACGAUGACUCGUGUAUGAUCCAGUCCUAAAAAUAGUAUGUGCAACAUUAAAGGCAAAUGUAAAGUCCAGUCAAUUCCUGGAAUUCCAUCCACAACAAUGUCAGUGAGUAACAUGACGGCCACAUUGCAACUAAUUAAAUAAAACAAAAAGUAAACAUACAAAUUAAAAAUGCCAGAACAUUCCAGCAAAGGUAUAUUGUUAAACUUAAUAUAAAUAGUUAGAAAAGCAAAUUUCAUAAUAGAUAUGAAUAUGCAUUUAACAUUUAUUAAAAUACAUACCGAUGAAAACCACUUAUUGGCAAACUAACGUCUGGCAAGAAUUCUGUUAGUGGAGCAAAAUAACCACCGUAUUCAGGCAUUGGCAAUGGAUGUGGCGCAGUAGAUGCAGAGACUGUUUGGGCAGCAUCUGAUGAACGUAGUUCGACAUUUUCCUCUUGACGCAACUAAAAGAAAGUAUAAGAAAAUUAUUAAUUAAAUAUCUUCAGUUUAAGUAUCAUUUACCUCUGGAUCAUUGAUUAAAAUAUCUUCUGGCCUUGGCAAUAUUGAUGGUCCUGAUGCUGCACGUAUUUUAUCAGCACCACGAGGUGGCCGAUUGUUUGUUGCUUGUGUAAAUGCUCU